rnacentral:snRNA from 1 species
GGAUUAGGGCGAUCUGGCUGCGACAUCUGUCACCCCAUUGAUCGCCAGGGUUGAUUCGGCUGAUCUGGCUGGCUAGGCGGGUGUCCCCUUCCUCCCUCACCGCUCCAUGUGCGUCCCUCCCGAAGCUGCACGCUCGGUCGAAGAGGACGACCUUCCCCGAAUAGAGGAGGACCGGUCUUCGGUCAAGGGUAUACGAGUAGCUGCGCUCCCCUGCUAGAACCUCCAAACAAGCUCUCAAGGUGUUUGUUGUUUUUAAUCCCUCUGCGAGUCACUCACCAUCCUACACUUGACCUUCCGUUAGCAACCUGUA